GAUGAACGCUGGCGGCGUGCCUAAUACAUGCAAGUCGAGCGAACAGACGAGGAGCUUGCUCCUCUGACGUUAGCGGCGGACGGGUGAGUAACACGUGGAUAACCUACCUAUAAGACUGGGAUAACUUCGGGAAACCGGAGCUAAUACCGGAUAAUAUAUUGAACCGCAUGGUUCAAUAGUGAAAGACGGUUUUGCUGUCACUUAUAGAUGGAUCCGCGCCGCAUUAGCUAGUUGGUAAGGUAACGGCUUACCAAGGCAACGAUGCGUAGCCGACCUGAGAGGGUGAUCGGCCACACUGGAACUGAGACACGGUCCAGACUCCUAUGGGAGGCAGCAGUAGGGAAUCUUCCGCAAUGGGCGAAAGCUUGACGGAGCAACGCCGCGUGAGUGAUGAAGGUCUUCGGAUCGUAAAACUCUGUUAUUAGGGAAGAACAAAUGUGUAAGUAACUAUGCACGUCUUGACGGUACCUAAUCAGAAAGCCACGGCUAACUACGUG
rnacentral:rRNA from 1 species